UCCAAGUUCCAUUUCAGUUAGGGUUCAAUGGUAGGGUUUAAGCGUUGAACCUUUUGUUCAUCUAAUCUCAUGUUAUGGCCAUUUUACCAAAGGAUUCUGUGCAAGAACACCAGUGAGCAGGUACAGAAUUUACUUAAUUUAUUCGCCGCAUGAUUUUACCAUUAUUGUGUCUUUGAGAGGGUAAUUCUAAUGAACCAAUCUCGAAGAACACCGAUAGAGCAAAAAGCCACAUUUCUGAAAGUUGAGAAGCCUGAACUUCAAGCCUCUGGAGAACACCGGGAGUUCCCCUUUACGGAAGCCUGCCUGUAUUGAGAAGAAUGAAGCUAAAGCGGGACAAAUGAAGUGCGUAUGCUGUUCGCUGAAAUGCCCGAGUGAGGAAUGGUACCUUUGCGGAGUUUAAUUAGGAUAAGUGCAUCUGGUGAUGUUUAUCAACAUUUGUAAAUCAAAUUUCGCACAAUACACUGUACGUGACUCAUUUUCCAUAUAAGUUUAUCGGUGAGUUUGGUAUGGAACUGUAUUCCUUCGAAAAGUGAUAACGUUGGGUGUUUUAUUUUUAAGAACAAAUUUAAGGACUUAGGCGGAAUAAGUGGGAAACUUAUUUCCUCAAAGUAUGAUGCGUGGACAGUUGAUAGUAUUAAGUCAUAAGGUGCUAUCAAGAACUUCAGUUUUGACACAAAGAAAGUAUGCUGUAGUGACACAGUCAUUGAAUACUUGCAACCCUGUAAAUAAUGGAUUUAUUUUGUUUCGAGAAUCUAUAUACACUUCUACACAUACCAGAAGGACAUCAGAUCCUAAUGAUCCAGCUACCUUGAUGAAGGAGGAUGGGGUCUCAGUUUGUACUAAAAUGUGGAUUGAGAAUUUUCGGGAACCGGAAAGAACUGUGUCCAAUUUGACUGAUUAUUUGAGGAGAUUUGAGCUGUGGGUGUUGGCAUACCAGAAGGUUUGUGCGGAUGACACUGGUGCAUAUAUGCCCCGAAGCUCAAUAACAAGGUCAGCUCUAGAGGAUUUGCUGGCAUUGAGGAAUGCAGUUCUGGAUAAUAGGUUUAAGUGGGGGGCUAGGCUGGAUUUUUUUAUUAAGUCUCCUAGAGAUAAGACUGACUAUGACUCAUUGUCUAAGAGGAAGAUCAAGGCUAUCCUGACUACCACACAGCCAGCUCCUUUCCAGGAUAGAAUUGUUCAAGAGGUGUUGUUUCUUAUGUUGGAGCCAAUUUAUGAGGCCCGGUUUUCAGAGAAGUCUUUUGCAUUUAGACCAGGAAGGAGUGCACAUACCGUUUUGAGGGUGAUACGAAGGAGCUUUGCAGGUUACCUGUGGUACAUAAAAGGUGACUUGAGUACAGUGUUGGAUGGUAUGAAGGUUGGGCUUGUGAUUAGUGCCUUGAUGAGGGAUGUUAGGGACAAGAAAGUGAUUGAUUUGAUUAAGGCAGCUUUAACUACUCCAGUGAUAACUAGUAGGCCUGAGGAUGGUGAGAAGAAGAAAAAGAAGAAGAGGAAGUACCAGAAGAAGAGAGUUCUGGCAGAGGAUGAACCAAAACCAGAUCCAUACUGGCUGGAAACCUUCUUUGGGUUCGCACCUGAAGAAGCUGAAAAACUUCCUUCAUGGGGUCACUGUGGUAUAUUGAGUCCACUUUUGGCUAACAUUUGUCUUGAUGAAUUAGACAGAUGGAUGGAAGGUAAGACCAAGGAAUUUUAUCGUCCUUCAAAGAGUGAUGUCAUUUGGAAUAGCCCAGAAGGGGAAGUUGAACAGGGAAAUACUUCAUGGCCAGAAUUUGUUCCUACAAGUGGGCCAGAUAAGACCAGGAAAAUGGACUAUAUUCGUUUUGGUGGUCACAUUCUGAUUGGAGUAAGGGGUCCUAGGGCAGAUGCAGCAACACUGAGAAAGCAGUUGAUUGAGUUCUGUGAUCAGAAGUAUAUGCUUAAGCUUGAUAACGAGAGCCUUCCUAUUGAACACAUAACUAAAGGUAUUAUGUUUCUUGAUCAUGUCUUGUGCCGUAGAGUUGUGUAUCCCACCCUUCGAUAUACUGCUACUGGUGGCAAAAUAAUUAGUGAAAAAGGUGUUGGGACACUGUUAUCUGUCACAGCUAGCCUGAAGCAGUGCAUUAAACAGUUUAGAAAACUGAACUUCCUUAAGGGAGAUAGAGACCCAGACCCACAGCCAUGCUUUAGAAUGUUUCAUGCUACUCAAGCCCAUACAAAUGCCCAAAUGAAUAAGUUAUUGGCUACGAUGGUUGAGUGGUAUAGAUAUGCUGACAAUAGAAAGAAGGUUGUCAAUUUCUGUGCCUAUAUCAUAAGGGGUUCCCUUGCAAAGCUCUAUGCUGCAAAAUAUAAGCUUCGGUCACGAGCUAAAGUUUACAAGAUUGGUUCUAGAGAUCUUCGCCGUCCCCUGAAGGAGAAAAAGGGACAGUCUCCAGAGUAUCAGCAGUUACUUAGAAUGGGGUUGGUGGAGUCAAUUGAUGGGCUAUUGUAUACCCGCAUGUCCCUUGUGCCAGAAACUGAUUACACCCCCUUUCCAGUUGGGUGGAGGCCUGAUCAUGAGAAGGCAUUGGUUGAAUAUAUAAAGCUUGAUGACUCAAGAACAUUGGAGGAGCAGCGCCACUGCUUCAAAGAACAAGGCCUCAUUUCACCUCAGGACUACAUUUCAAUGCUUGUCUGGAACUACAAAAGAAAUGCUUUAGCAGUGGAUUUGCCCUCAACUAUAAAUGAUAGGAACACGACAGAAGGGAAACAUUUGCAAUUGGACGCAGGUAAUGAGGAUGACAGUCAAAAUGAUGGGAGUGAUGAAGAUAAUGAAAAAGAUUUUCAUGCUGCACAAAUUAUACUACUUUAGCCAUUAGAAAAGUGGCAUGCAAAUGAGGCAAAAACAUCCUCCCUUCUCUAUAACUGGACAGCCAUUCAGGCCGCACGAUGAGAUCUGGGGUAAAAGAGUUUGUUAUCCUAUUGCUUUGUUCUUAACUCUGACUCUCUUAUCCAGUGCAGUUCCACCAAUGGGGCAAGGCUAAUCUGAACUCGUACCUGAGUUAGCUGAAAAUGAUUGAAAUUUUGCUGUCAACGCCACAAUGGGGACUUCUCUGGCGACUCUGUGAAUCCGUCUUCCCAUGCUGUGUCUGUCAUCGCAACACUCAGGUAUAUAUUUCCUGCAUUAGAAUCCCCAGAUUACAACUUCCCGGUGGAGUCUACAAGCGUUCCAAUGGCACCUGUAUGAAGUUCCAAGCUGUCCAUCAAAGGGGCACUUGGUAUACUGUUGAAAGUUUGAGUCCCCAUGGUAGUAGCAUCUUUUAGAGCUAGCUUUACUGCUAUGAUCACUUUCUGUUGAGGUUAGCAACACGACAAUUAUAGACUGCUCGAAGGAAGUAACGACAACAGACUUUUGGGUGCAUAUUAGCAUAUGUGCAAUUUGAGUUGAUCAAAGUGGCCGAUGGUCGAGAAAUGGGGGUUGGUGUCUGUGGGAGGAACUGAAAAUGAAGGCGCAGCCAAAAGAGUAGUAGCCUUGCAUUUUGCUGGAUUGUGAAGUUCGCUUCUAUGUACUUGGUGGUGGGUAGAGAAUGGACAUAGGAGGAAGCUUCCUAGAUACAUGGUUAUUAUUACAUUAAGAUAAAAGUUUGGGAAAAUUGUAUUUUUUGUCUCUAAGUUAUAAGGUAAUUGUAAGAUUUGUCUCUACUUGUUGGUCGUGCUCACUUCUUGUCUCUAAGUUAUAGUUGACAUUGCAUUUUUUAACAGGUUGUUCUCACUUCUUGUCCCUGAGA